rnacentral:lncRNA from 1 species
AUGGAAGCCUCCGAUGUCUCUGAUUUGAUUUCUCAUUUUCAGGAUUACAAUUACCAGCCUGACGUGACCGGCAGCUCAGGCUCGACGUGGGGCUCCCCGGUGGAGCCUGGCAGGAUGGGAAUUGUACCAGAUUACACCAAUUAUCUAAUAUUUUUGCUAAUUGGACACCCGGUGCCCCUCUGCUUGCAGCAGGAGAAAUCAAUGCUUGGCACCACCAUUGUGAUCCUAGCUGGCCGAGCAGCGGUUGUCAGCCGGGCGCGUGCACAGAGGACCCCCCCACCAGGAUCCUGCCCCCUCCCCCCACCCCUGCACCCCACACCUGCUGCAGAGCCUCGGACCCCUGACGUCUGCCCCCGGCUCUGCUUGCCGCUCCCGGGGCUUCCAGCGCGCUCGGCUCCUCCGCUGGGCGGCAGGAUUCGUGGGGGAUCCCCCCAAACCAAAGACCACGUGGCUCAGACGAGAGUCUAUGGAAGGAACGGGGCUGGACACGGGGUCAGAGCCAGGAACUUCCUUCCGUUUCCAUCUGGGGAAGCAGAGCUGGGCAGGGGGUGCCGCGGACAGCGGGGCCGAGCUGAGGAGCUGAGCCCCACGUGUGCUGGCCCCAGUCUGAGGCUGCCCGCCCACCGUGUUCGGCCAGAGCGAAUUCGAGUUCCACUGGGUCUCCCCGGCCACUGGGCUGUCGGGUUCCACUGGGUCCCCGGCCACUGGGCUGUCGGGUUCCACUGGGUCUCCCCGGCCACUGGGCUGUCGGGUUCCACUGGGUUCCUGGCCACUGGGCUGUCGGGUUCCACUGGGUCUCCCCGGCCACUGGGCUGUCGGGUUCCACUGGGUUCCUGGCCACUGGGCUGUCGGGUUCCACUGGGUCUCCCCGGCCACUGGGCUGUCGGGUUCCACUGGGUUCCUGGCCACUGGGCUGUCGGGUUCCACUGGGUCUCCCCGGCCACUGGGUUGUCGGGUUCCACUGGGUCCCCGGCCACUGGGCUGUUGGUGACGAAGUCUGGAUCGGAAGCGAAACUCAUUGGUUGA